GACGAACGCUGGCGGCGUGCUUAACACAUGCAAGUCGAGCGGUAAGGCCUCUUCGGGGGUACACGAGCGGCGCACGGGUGAGUAACACGUGGGUGACCUGCCCUCAGCUCUGGGAUAAGCCUGGGCAACUGGGUCUAAUACCGGAUAUGACCUUUCCUCGCAUGGGGUUUGGUGGAAAGUUUUUUCGGCUGGGGAUGGGCCCGCGGCCUAUCAGCUUGUUGGUGGGGUGAUGGCCUACCAAGGCGACGACGGGUAGCCGGCCUGAGAGGGCGACCGGCCACACGGGGACUGAGACACGGCCCAGACUCCUACGGGAGGCAGCAGUGGGGAAUAGUGCGCAAGGGGCGGAAGCCUGACGCAGCGACGCCGCGUGGGGGAUGACGGCCUUCGGGUUGUAAACCUCUUUCGACCCCGACGAAUUUGGACGGUAGGGGUAGAAGAAGCACCGGCCAACUACGUG
rnacentral:rRNA from 1 species